rnacentral:rRNA from 1 species
UACGUAAGGUGCGAACGUUGUUCGGAAUCACUGGGCAUAAAGAGCACGUAGGCGGCUGGAUAAGUCCGAUGUGAAAUCCCCCGGCUCAACCGAGGAAUUGCAUCGGAUACUGUCUGGCUAGAGUGCAGUAGGGGAGAGCGGAAUUCCAGGUGGAGCGGUGAAAUGCGUAGAUAUCUGGAGGAACACCGGUGGCGAAAGCGGCUCUCUGGACUGUAACUGACGCUGAGGUGCGAAAGCCAGGGGAGCAAACGGG